rnacentral:rRNA from 1 species
AGCGAACGCUGGCGGCAUGCUUAACACAUGCAAGUUGCACGGGCAGCAAUGUCAGUGGCGGACGGGUGAGUAACGCGUAGGUAUCUAUCCUUGGGGUGGGGGACGAACUGUGGGGAAACUACAGCUAAUACCGCAUGAUGACCGAGGUCUAAAGGCGCAAGUCGCCUGGGGCGGGAGCCUGCGUACGAUUAGCUUGUUGGUGGGGUAAAGGCCUACCAAGGCGACGAUCGUUAGCUGGUCGUGAGAGGAUGAUCAGCCACAUUGGGACUGAGACACGGCCCAAACUCCUACGGGAGGCAGCAGUGGGGAAUAUUGGACAAUGGGCGCAAGCCUGAUCCAGCAAUGCCGCGUGUGUGAAGAAGGUCUUC